rnacentral:rRNA from 1 species
CCUACGGGUGGCAGCAGUGGGGAAUAUUGGACAAUGGGGGCAACCCUGAUCCAGCCAUGCCGCGUGUGUGAAGAAGGCCCUCGGGUUGUAAAGCACUUUCAGUGAGGAAGAACGCCUGGUGGUUAAUACCCAUCAGGAAAGACAUCACUCACAGAAGAAGCACCGGCUAACUCCGUGCCAGCAGCCGCGGUAAUACGGAGGGUGCGAGCGUUAAUCGGAAUUACUGGGCGUAAAGCGCGCGUAGGUGGCUUGAUAAGCCGGUUGUGAAAGCCCCGGGCUCAACCUGGGAACGGCAUCCGGAACUGUCAAGCUAGAGUGCAGGAGAGGAAGGUAGAAUUCCCGGUGUAGCGGUGAAAUGCGUAGAGAUCGGGAGGAAUAACAGUGGCGAAGGCGGCCUUCUGGACUGACACUGACACUGAGGUGCGAAAGCGUGGGUAGCAAACAGGAUUAGAUACCCUUGUAGUC